GGUCAUACUCAGGCAUAAGUAAGCUCCCUUUUUUUUAAAAAGCAAAACAUUAAAAAUAAACAAAUGAAAUAAAUACAGGGUGUCUAGCAUCAGGAUUUUCCUGAUUCCAUCAGGAUUUGAAGUCAAUCAGGAUUUAAUCCCGAUUUCAUCAGGAUUUGAGGAAAAAUCGGUCGUAAAAUCAGGAUUUGAGAAAGUCUGCCGUCGUUAUUUUUCGUUAACUAUCCGAUAUCCGUCCGUUCAUUUCUCCGCCAAAAAUCAGGAUUUGAAAAAAUUAUGAAAUCAAGAUUUAGCAGUCAAAAAUCAGGAAAAAUCAGGAUUUCCCAAAAUGAAAAAAAACUAGACACCCUGUAAUAUCUUUCCAUGAAAAUAAAUGUUCUCAACAAUUAAUCAGUUUGCUGCGUUAUAUUUUGGAACAAUUUGAGGAAGUGGGGAGUGAGGCGCUGGUUGGGGGGGGGGGGGGGGGUCUAAAAGUCGGCCAAAAUCGCUUACUCAAUACUUGAACGCCCCUCAUCCUUCUGGAUUUUUGAUGAAGAAUCUAAUGGAUUUGGACGAUUUUUUGAUUGCAGAUGAUGUGAAGAUCGAAGCCUCGAGUGGGAUAGUGGAGCUUGCGGUGGGCUCUCGGAGUGCGUGGGCGGGUGCGGGCGCGGUGAAGGCGGCCGUGGGGACGGGGCCACGGAGGCCGGAGCCACGCUUCAAGCGGAGACUGCGACGCUGGUGGUUCACCGUGGAGAAGCGGGAGCCGACCGCGGAUGAAGGCGACCCCGGUGACGUCAUCGAGUUCCCCUCCGCCCCCGGCCCCGCCACCGAGACCGGAAAUGGAGCCGGAAGCCCCGCGGCGGCGGCGACGGCGCCCUCUCCCGUCCAGUUCGACGAGGCCGUCGGCGGGGUGGGCGUGGGAGUGGGCCGCGGGGGUGACUACGUGAACCAGCUGGUCGUGGCCAGCGCCGUCCAGCGCGGGGGUGGCGCCGAGGGGCCCGGCCCGCCCGCCGGCGACUUCUUAAGGGCGACGUGCGCCGAUAGGGUGCUCGACUCGGACGGUCGAGUGACCGCCCUCUGGAUCAACCUCAGGUGGAACCUCUCCGCAAGCCGCCAUCAGCUCAGCGCCGACGAUUGGAUUGGACUCUAUCCCUUAGGCGAGAAUGACGCUGAAAAAUCCCUGAGACGCCACACCAAGAACUUGGGAUGUAACGAAGGAGCAACCAUGUGGCUUAUGGACUAUCCACAACAGACGCAAUCCUUAAAACAAGACUGCGGGAAUCUGCUGUGCUUCCGGUACUACAGCGGUCUGAGCCUGUCAUGCCUAGCCCAGUCGGAGCCGAUUGACCUGGACUCGGUGUACAAGCUCGCGUCGCCCAAGGACAAAGACAAUGUAGCCGGGAACCGGAACAACAACCACAACCACAUCAACCACCAGCAGCACCACAGCCAGAGCAACAUCUACGUGUCCAGCAACAACUUGCACAGCAAAGAGCUCUCGGCCAAGCGAACCUACCUCAAGAGAUCCGAUGAGCCGAUGAAGAUCCACCCGGCCCCGGACUCGCCGCCUACGCCGCUCGCCCCCCAGUCCCAAGCACCGCCCACAACUCCGGCCCCGCCCACCCAGGGCAGCUCCGAGAGCGAGUCGGACAAUGAGAACCUCAUCAAGUCGAGCAAGAAGGGCUGGCGACUCCUCCGCAAGAAGAACAAGCGGACGAGCCCCGGCCCGGAGAUCCACCUCCCCAACGGCGAGGCCGCCUCCGACUCGGACUCGAAGCACUCCCGCAAGGAGCUCAUCACGUGGAACUCCCACGAGACCCGCUGCCAGCUGACCAAGGACCCGAGCUCCGAGUACUACCCCAUCUGGAUCAACAACAACGACCAGAGCGUCAAGAACGAGAACCACGAGAACGGCUACGAGACGCUCUACCCCUCGGAGGAACCGCCGCCCCUCCCGCCGCGCACCUUCUCCCCGCGGCACCGCCCCCUUGAACGGUCCAAGGCCAUCCAGCCCCCGCCUCCUCCCCCGCCACCCCCCGAGGUCUCCCGGAAGCACAAACCCAUCAAGUAUUCGGCCGAUCUCCUACGACCGUGCCUCCCUCCAAAACCAAAGAAGACCGAGUUCAGCUCCGUUGACGAGUUGUUCAGCCUCUCGAGCAUCGACACGAACAGCUUCGAGGAGCACGCGCCGACGAUAUCCCCGACGCCGGGCUCGACGCCCCGCCAGGCCCCUCUGGCCACGCCCGAGCUGGAGGAGACGCCGCUGGUCAACCUGGAGUCUAUCCCCAACUCGGUGCUCCUGUCCAGUCCCGAGCUCCUGGACCGCCUCACCUGCCGCCUCGCCACCGCUUCUAGUCAAGAUUGUGAUAUAAGUUUAACGACGGCCGAGGUGCCCGUGUCGGUGCCGGUGCUCAACGGCCAUGUCGAGGAUCCGGUCCGAGGGACCAACGGGCAGGCCAGCGAUAGUGGGGAGUCGGUCCUCUCGCCGGACGGAUGCGUGGCGGCCGACCCGGAGGUGGAGCUAGUCAACGGGACCGACGAGGACUCCGGCGGAAGCGUCCGCAGGGAGGUCGAGUCCCUCAACUCCUCAAGUGCCGAGUCCGUCGAGUCCGCCGAGUCCAUCCCUGGAUUGGAACCCGUGUCCCUCUCUACGCCGCUCGAGCCUCCACUUCGUGCUCACAAGCCUCUCUCGCGGCAGGUACGCAUCACUUUUAUCUUCUUAAUCAACUCCCAACUAGUAUUUAGUAUUGAUGACUAAAUCGAAAGGUAUUGCAAAUAUCUGCUCAUA
rnacentral:lncRNA from 1 species